rnacentral:rRNA from 1 species
GAUGAACGCUGGCGGCGUGCCUAAUACAUGCAAGUCGAGCGAACAGACGAGGAGCUUGCUCCUCUGACGUUAGCGGCGGACGGGUGAGUAACACGUGGAUAACCUACCUAUAAGACUGGGAUAACUUCGGGAAACCGGAGCUAAUACCGGAUAAUAUAUUGAACCGCAUUGUUCAAUAGUGAAAGACGGUUUUGCUGUCACUUAUAGAUGGAUCCGCGCCGCAUUAGCUAGUUGGUAAGGUAACGGCUUACCAAGGCGACGAUGCGUAGCCGACCUGAGAGGGUGAUCGGCCACACGGGAACUGAGACACGGUCCAGGCUCCUGCGGGAGGCAGCAGUAGGGAAUCUUCCGCAAUGGGCGAAAGCCUGACGGAGCAACGCCGCGUGAGUGAUGAAGGUCUUCGGAUCGUAAAACUCUGUUAUUAGGGAAGAACAAAUGUGUAAGUAACUAUGCACGUCUUGACGGUACCUAAUCAGAAAGCCACGGCUAACUACGUG